rnacentral:rRNA from 1 species
CCAAUAGCGUAUAUUAAAGUUGUUGCAGUUAAAAAGCUCGUAGUUGAAUUUCGGGAUUCUUCCGUUGGUCAGGCUAACAAGUCUGUACUAGCGUGUAGAAUCUCUACCUUCUGGGGAACCAUCAUGUUAUUAAUUUAGCGUGGUGGGAAACCAGGACCUUUACCUUGAAAAAAUUAGAGUGUUCAAAGCAGGCUUACGUCUGAAUACAUUAGCAUGGAAUAAUAAAAUAGGACGGUGGUCCUGUUUUGUUGGUUUCUGAAUCACCGUAAUGAUUAAUAGGGAUAGUUGGGGGCAUUAGUAUUCAAUUGUCAGAGGUGAAAUUCUUGGAUUUAUUGAAGACUAACUUCUGCGAAAGCAUUUGCCAAGGAUGUUUUCAUUAAUCAAGAACGAAAGUUAGGGGAUCGAAGACGAUCAGAUACCGUCGUAGUCUUAACCAUAAACUAUGCCGACUAGGGAUCGGACGAUGUUAAAUUUUAUUGACUCGUUCGGCGCCUUACG